rnacentral:rRNA from 1 species
UACGUAGGGUGCGAGCGUUGUCCGGAAUUAUUGGGCGUAAAGAGCUUGUAGGCGGUUUGUCGCGUCUGCUGUGAAAAUCCGGGGCUCAACCCCGGACUUGCAGUGGGUACGGGCAGACUAGAGUGUGGUAGGGGAGACUGGAAUUCCUGGUGUAGCGGUGAAAUGCGCAGAUAUCAGGAGGAACACCGAUGGCGAAGGCAGGUCUCUGGGCCACUACUGACGCUGAGAAGCGAAAGCGUGGGUAGCGAACAGG